rnacentral:rRNA from 1 species
GAUGAACGCUGGCGGCGUGCCUAAUACAUGCAAGUCGAGCGAACAGACGAGGAGCUUGCUCCUCUGACGUUAGCGGCGGACGGGUGAGUAACACGUGGAUAACCUACCUAUAAGACUGGGAUAACUUCGGGAAACCGGAGCUAAUACCGGAUAAUAUAUUGAACCGCAUGGUUCAAUAGUGAAAGACGGUUUUGCUGUCACUUCUAGAUGGAUCCGCGCCGCAUUAGCUAGUUGGUAAGGUAACGGCUUACCAAGGGGACGAUGCGUAGCCGACCUGCGAGGGGGGUCGGCCACACUGGAGCUGAGACACGGUCCAGACUCCUACGGGAGGCAGCAGUAGGGAAUCUUCCGCAAUGGGCGAAAGCCUGACGGAGCAACGCCGCGUGAGUGAUGAAGGUCUUCGGAUCGUAAAACUCUGUUAUUAGGGAAGAACAAAUGUGUAAGUAACUAUGCACGUCUUGACGGUACCUAAUCAGAAAGCCACGGCUAACUACGUG